CUUAUUCACACCGGGAGUAAAAAUCAUAUAGGCUUACAGAGCGAUUUAUUUUUAGCAACAAAAAUUGAUAGUUCUAACCUCGUCUAGUGGCAUCAACCUUUUCCACGUUGACGAGUCUGCAAUUCUUAUGUGUUACACAUCAUGGUCUGAAUAAUAAUUUCCAUGGGUAUGAUUGCCAGGAAUCAGCAAAAAUAAUAUAUAGGCCUAUUCAAAAAGUGGUAUUACAUCUAUUGUGCUUUAAAAAAUAAAGCUUGGGUGUGAUUUUGGAGUGGCAGAUUGGUAUUUGAUUUCAAGAUGGAGUUAAUUACUAUCCUUAUCGGCAUUGCUGCAUUCAUAAUAUCAGCUUUGCUGAUUUACUGCAUUUCUGCAGUUUCUAUGCGUGAAAAAACAUUUGAAGAAGUCAUGGAAGAACAAAGACGCCGGCAAGAGGAAGAGAGGGAAAAGGCAAAAGCGGAAAAGAAAGCUGAAAGGGAACAGCAGAAAAAAAAAUACAAGAAGGGAAAAGAAAAGGUUAAAGAAAAAGCAGCUCAGGUCAAUGAACCUGAGUCCAAAGUGGAACAAAAAAUGGUAAAUUUAGAAAUAGAACCAGAGAUUAUUGAACCUACUGAGUCUCUAGGACUCAAUGCUGGUGUUCGCCAAAGAGGGAAGAAGGAGAAGAGUGUGAAACCUAUUCUUCAUAAUAAAGGUGAAGUAACACCAGUUGUGGAGAAAACUGUGGAAGUCCAUCAUAAGUCCAUUGUUCCUAAAGAUGAACUGGAGUUGAAGAAAAGCCAUGAGAAAAUAGUUAUUGAAAAGAUUGAAAAAGUUAAAGCUGUUCACACUGAAACAAGUGUAAAAGAAAUAAUUUCUCGUCAAGAAGUAAAAGAGAAAGAGAAUUUGCCUCCCAAAAAGGUUGAGAAGAUUGAAGAAAAGUCAAAAAUUCAAAUUGAAGAUCCAGAAAAGCGUUCUAGCAAGCAGAAGGCCAAUAUAGAAGAGGCACAGGUAAAUGGAUCAAAACUAAUAUCUUCAGUGAAAUCUGCAAAACUAUCUGAUAGUGAGGUUCAGACAUUGAUUGAUAUUCUUCUCAAUAGGCAAGGUUUAACACCCAGCCCUGCUGUAUCAGAAUCUUGGAACAAGAAAAGUCAAAAAGGAGAUCCUCUUUCAUUACUGAAGAAACAGCUAGAAGAAAAAGAAAAAGCUCUACAGGAAGAACAACUUCAAACAGCAUCUGCCAACUCACGUUUGCGGGAUCUUAAGAAUGAGAUUACCUCAGAGAAAACUAAAUUCUCUGCACUGGAAAAGAAAUUUCAAGAAGUUAUCAGUAAAAAUAAAGCUGAAGUUGAUGCUCUUCAACAGCGAAUGAAGCACUCACAGGAGCAGCAUGUUGUUGAAACCAGCAAUCUGCAAACUAGGAUCCGCCAGCUGGAGCAGAGUGGUGACAAAUCCUCAUCUCAGAAAGUCUUAGAGGAAAAUAAAGUUUUGCAAGAUGCAUUGACUCAAAAGAGUAAAGAAACUGUAAGUCUAGGUGAAAAGAUAAAAAGUAUGGAGAAGGAAUUAAACAACAGCCAAAACAAGAUUCAGUCUAAUGAGGCUGUUAAAAAAACAUUGGAAUCUAAGAUAUCCACUUAUGAGGAUAAAAUCCGCAAGCUUGAAUCUGCUCAGAAAGAUACUGAUUCUGUAAUCAACAAAAGAGUUGAUGAGAUAAGCUUAGAACUGAAAAGAACUGAAGCCAAGAAUUCAUCCCUUAUCUCUGAUCUUCAAAAAGCUAAUUCAGCAUUGACAACAGCACAAAGUGAAUGCAGUGUUCUGAAGACCAAACUGCAAGAGCUGGAAGCUCACUUAACAAAGGCAGAUGCAAAUAAAGAAGUUGAGACAAGGCUUCAGGAAUCUGAGCACAAACGUUAUGACUUGGAAGGUAAUGUGAAGAACUUGGAGAAGCAGCUGGAUGAUCUUUCGAAAAGACUUAGUGAAAGUGAUUCAGAGAUAAAACGUUUACAGCAAGAGAAUAAAGCAUUAUCAGAUGAAAAUAAAUUGGCAAGAGAAAGCCUUCAAAAUGCUCCUGCAUCUAAUGGAGAUAUUCAUGAAAAUGGACCUAGUGUAUCUCAACAAUCUGAAGAACAUGAGCGCAUCUUAACAGAUAAAAAUAAAGAAAUCAGCGAUUUAUUAUCUAACCUUGAGAGUCAGAAAAAGCUGGCAUCCAGUCUUCAAACUCAGCUAGAUAACAAAAAUGCUGAAGUUACUGAUCUACAAGGACAGUUGAAUCAACAAAGAACCAAAAACAAUGAAUUGCGAGAAAAGAAUUGGAAAGCAAUGGAAGCAUUAGAAAAAGCUGAAAAAUCCUCAGCAGAAAAAGUAGAUAAAGCUAUGAAAUCUGCUAGGGAGCUGAGCUCUACUGCUGUAACUGAGGCUGAAAACUUUGAUAAAGCUGCAUUUCAGCGAUUAUUCCCUGAUGUACAAAUUUCUGACAAAUUGUCUCAUAAAGAUUGGGUUGUUGCAUUUGAAAAGCUGGCAGUUAAAAAACUUCAGCAAAAUAGUACUGCAGAAACCAGAUUAAAAGAACUGGAAGUGACAAACAGUAAAACUCUUUUACAGUUGCAAGAAUAUGAGAAACAAAUUGCUGAUGUAAAUGUAAAGAAUGAUACAUUAAAAAAACUAGAAACAGAAAUUUUACAAUUGAAAUCCAGUCAAUCUUCCACAUCAGCAGAUGAGUCUGGAAAGAUUUCAGCGUUACAGAUAGAAAACAAUAAAUUGUUAACAGAUGUAGAGCAUUAUCGAAACAUUGUUUCUGAGACAGAAAACAAGUUGCAUCAAUUAGAAAAAUCAAUUGAUGCUGAAGAGAAAAAAUGGCAAGAAAAGUUGAAGCAGGCUCUGUCAGGAGCACAAAAGGAUGCAGCAUCAUCAAAAAAAGAAAAAGAAUUAGAAACAUUAGUUUCUCAACAGAAGUCUCAGAUAGAAGAAUAUAGACAAAUAUUAUCUAGAACUGCAAAUAGUUUAACAGAAUUAGAGAAAAAUGUAGCUUCAGAGGAAAAAGUAUGGCAGGGCAAGUUGACAGCAGCUCAGUCUGAGCUUACACAGACAAAAGAUCAACUUUCUGGUUUAAAACAGCAACUAGGAACUCAGGGAAGUCAAGAGGACCUAACUGAUUUGUCCUUUGCAUAUCACUGUGUUGAAAAAAGCCUUGACAGUAUUGUAGAUGAGAUGCAAGUGAGAGUUGAGAAGCUAGAGACGGAGCUGAGGGAAGCUCAAGAGAAAAUAAUUGUCAUCACAAGGGAGAAAGAAACUGUGAUUACUCAACUUAAAGAAAGCCACGUUUCAGGUACAGAUACAGAGGGGCUAGAAAAACAACUUUCUGAAUUGCGGACCCAGUUAGAAGCUGAACGCAAAAAGAACAAGGGUCUUUCUUUGGAUGUAGUUAAAUUGAACGGCAUUAUUAAGACAGGACAGGAUGCUCUAGCACAAGAGCAAGGGCUAGUUAAACAGUUACGUGAAUCCCUGGAUUCUAAAUCUGUUAGCUCAGGAGUAACAGAAGCUGAAGAAAUUGAGCAGCUGCGUGUUAAGCUUUCUGAGAAACAAAAACUUCUAGAACGUGAGAUGGCCACCAACAAACAGCUCAGUGAACGAUUGGGUUGGAAACAAAAUGUAAAAAAAAAAUAGUACAAUUAUUGAGACAAAAGGCUCAACUGGGCUUGUUGGGUCAUCGGAAAUAUUAGCAGGCUGCAACAACAAACAAUGAUAGCGGUACAUCUGUUUGAGAAACUGGUGGCAAAGUUUGCAACAUCUGUUGGUAUAUCACUGCCACUCUGAAUCAACAUGUUACAUAAAAAAAACCCAGCCAUUUUUAUGUUCAACCUGUUACUUUUACUGCAUAUCUUCCCAGUUUAUUGAACUGAUCAGCUAUGUGUAAGCUGUUGGUGUCGCCAUUUUUUUUUUCUGUUUUACAUUUACAAAAUUUUUAAAAUUAUAAACUAACCUGAGCAUUCAGCUCCCCUAUUUAAUACCUAUAGAAAAAUGUCACCAAAAUAUGACACAAUCAUCAGAACAAAACUGUUUCAUAUCCUUUUAAAAAUAUAUCAUAUCUGUAUCUGCUCACUAUAUUUAUAAUUUAUUUAGUGUUUCACCUAGAAUACCAUACCAUUGAUAAUGCCUUUCACUCAAAACUGCUUUUUGAAAGAUCAGUGCCACCAUUCUGAUGUUUAGCGGAAAUGUAUAAUUUUUAUUUUGAAAUGCUAGUAGAAUUAUACAAAGUGCAUAUAUAAAGAUAAUGAAAACAUGUACCAUGGAUCACAUUGUUGUACUUACACAGUUGUAACUUAGCCUCCUACUCCCUAGCUAAUUUCCCUGUGCUCAGCAACACUUCUGUUAUAGGUGAUGGUUUGUAACUGUAGUCAAUGCAAGUUAAUUUGUUGAUGUUGUUUUGUAAUAAUUCAAGCAUCAGGGUAGGGUUUUUUUUAAGUGUCUGAUCUAUGUCUGAAUGCUUGUAAAUUAAGAUUGAAAAUAUUUGGCAUGCUUUUAAAACUUCUUAGUUUGUCAAUUAAUAUAAUUCUAUGGUAUGCUGGUCAGUUGCCAUUUAUGUGAAUUUUGUGUUCUAUUUUUACCUUUCUUUUUUUGUUAAUGUAAUUUUAAAGGUGAAUCAGAUUUUUUUAAAGUAAAGUUUUUCACAACUGUAACUAGCUUGAUAAACAACUGAUGAUUUGAUAGUCAUUAUAAUUCUAGGGCAGUCUAUAACAUUGAGGUAAACAGUCCAGCUAGUCAAGUAUGUUUCAACCACUUGUAAUUUAUUUCUGUUGCAUGUUAGCUUCCCACAAAAUAGCAUGGUAACCACAUUGUAUUCAUAGCAACUAAUAAAGAUGAUUUAGCUUUUUUGGGAGAUGGCAAAAUUGAGCAUUUAUAUAAACUAUUUCACUUUUUGAGACUUUCUUAUGCCUUACUUGCCUUUGUUUUCAGUUAUUUCAUAACCAUUCACUGUUUUAGUUAUUUUUCAAGUAAAACUAUUUUUUAUUUGAAUUAAAAAAAGAGUAGCAUUUUGUGUAACCACUUUACACAUUUUAGUAUAUUUGAAGUCCAGAGUCUUGUUAAUUAUAAAUGUUAGGCAGGUUCUUUUUUUGUUAACUGUGCAUGUUAAAAAUCUUUCAGUUAGAAAAUAAAACUGCUGAAUUUUACUUUGUUGUCUAGCUGUAAGCUGAAUCCUUUUUAUGCAUGGAAGCAAGUUUAAUGGAAAAUAGUUUAUGCAAGGCAAACUAGUUGACAAUUCUUCCAUCAAGUAAGAUAAUUAACAGUUAUAGUGCUUGCAGCAUUCUUAAAACGUUAUGGAUCUAAUAAUUUCUGUGUUCUGGUUGUAUUGAAAUGUUCUUUUCAGUUAGGGCAUGACCAGUUAUGCAAAAUUGUGUUCAGAAUAUAUAGAUAUUAUGCCUUCCCAUUGCUUACAUUUAAACUCUUUCCUUGGUGAGGUUUUAAAAAGUAAACUUGAUAUGAAAAAGUAAGUAUCAGGCAUUUUUUGUUUUGCAUGUUAACUUUUUAUGCUAUUUAAAUUACAGUUAUUGUAUGAAAAUCCCUAAUAGCUACCUUUCAAAUAAGUUUUCCUCUUCAAUGCUUACCGUAUAAUUUCCUGUAGAUUAGAUUUUGUUGUCGUUUCAGUGAUGUAACAAGUGUUACUAGUCACAUCAAGCACCACAUUGAUAACUUCUGUGAUUCUUUUUUUUUCUUAUUAUUUCUAUUUAUCUUUCAGUAAUUUAAAAAUAAUUUAAAAUAAAAAACCAGCAUUUUAUACUUAAAAUUUCCUGCAUUGUAACUUCUGAGAAACAUUUUUGUAUAUUGAUUUUAAAAAGUAGAAAUUGGUACUUGUAUGGUAUUUGGAAAUCACUGUCACGUUUAUAAAUAUUAGUUGAAAAUUGACCACUUGUUGAAAAAGGUCUUCUGUAAGCAGGCUUGUACUGAAAGUCAGGUAAAGGUAUUCACUUGAACUUGUUACAGGGGCCAAUAAAGUACAAUACCAUUACUUGCUUUCCAGUUCAGGUGACAUUUUCCUUUCCUUCAGUUACAUUAUUUUUCCACUUCUUUAGCUUUUGUUAGUGUUCAUUUUGUAAAAGUAAUGGUUGAUUUUUUUUUUCAAAACAUUUUCACUUAGUUUAUGUAAAUAAUAAAUAAUAUUCUAUACAUAUAAUUGUGCUAUUGUCUUGCUUAUGUACAGAAGGCCAGCUUGUGAUGUUCAUGUUGUUUUAAUAUAUUAUAAGAAUUAUAUAUACCCUUUUCAUUUAUCAGCCUCAUCAAUUAUUUAGCAUGUGUAGGAUAAAUAUACUUGUUGGCUGCAAUAUUUGGAUGUUUUUCUUUUAAUUCUAACACCCACAGCCUAUUGAGAAAGAUGUUUUGUUGAAGUUUUUGCGCAUUCAGUGUUAAUAAUUAUCACUAAAUUUGCGCAGCUUAGGAAAAUAAAUUGCACAAGUUAACAGCCAAGUGAUUUUUUUACAUGAUUUUUAACCAAAAUUUUGAUAGAAGCUUAAAAAUGUGCAAUAUGUCAAGUGUGCAGUAAAGUGACUGGAUUAGGUGGUUGGAAAUAAAAUUCUAUUGUGGAGAAAUCACUGGAAAAAAAAUCAUGUUUUUCGUCUAAUAAAAUAUGCGCUCAUCA